GACGAACGCUGGCGGCGCGCCUAACACAUGCAAGUCGCGCGGUUAAAGCUGCUUCGGCAGUGCAUAAAGCGGCGAACGGGCGAGUAACGCGUGGGCAACCUGCCCCCUCCCGGGAAUAGCCGGGGGAAACCCCGGGUAAGGCCCGGCGACCCCCCAGGAAGGCAUCUUCCAGGGGGCAUACGAAGGGGAGGGGGAUGGGCCCGCGUCCGAUUAGCCAGACGGCGGGGUGACGGCCCACCGUGGCGACGAUCGGUAGCCGGGCUGAGAGGCCGGACGGCCGCAUUGGGACUGAGACACGGCCCAG
rnacentral:rRNA from 1 species